UUGUGUCUCUGGACAACCUCCCAAGCAGCUGCUUGAAAUAAAGCUAUCUACUCAAAGCAUCAAUUCUGUGUCUUGAGAGUGUUGGUGUAGAGGACCUCAAAGUAUUGAACUAAGCAGGGGCAUGCCCAGUUGGGCUCCUGCAACAAUUGGAGGUUCCACCGAGGUUCUGGGACAUUCCCAACUCCUGCCCAAGGAGGCCUAGGACGGAGGAACGGAGGCACGCCGACUAAAAAGAUCUAGUGCCUGUGAACCUGAACUCAGUGUGCCAUUUGUUCAGCCCUAAGUGGAGGCAACUGCCUUGAGGAACUGGUUGUAAGUAAGUAACCCCUUAGAUUGCUGUGGUGAUAAACCAUAAGACCAGCGCCUUAAGGAGAUGCCAAGUAUAUCUGCACUCUGCAGAAACAUGGACCAGGAGAGGGCUGAGUUGGCAAACACCACACCCACCACGCGAAACUUUGCGGUCAUCCAUCGGUUGUUAUGGCUCUGAAGCAGGAAGGACAACAUGAAUGAUGCUCAAAAGUUAUUAACGAGAAUGCCAAGACGCCCAAAAUGAAAUAGAACAGAAAACGUACUUAUGUCUUAGUUCAAAAUGACAGGGGAUGUUCUUGUAACCCAGUCUAUGGGACUCCCAGCGGCCUGGGCUGUGGUUCCUGAGAUGCUAAUUAGUAUGAUCUAAGCCGGAUGCGUGCAAAGUUUGCACUUUCGGAGGGUGGAUCAAGCUGUCGAAGGUCUGAAAGAAAACAUAUAAAAGUCACUGCCCCAGAAGGUCUUCUUAACAGUGUCAUUCACCAACUCUUGUCUCCGGAAUAUCUGCUCUUCCUACUCUAGACUCACAGCUGUCUUUUUACAAUGUCCACCGCUGGUAUGUCAUCCAUCAGCCAACUAGCAUACCGACCAAUUGUGGUAGGUGAGCCCAUUGUUCUUCCAUUGAGAAUCCCGAUACAGUAUCGCCCUAAUAAUCCAAUUAUUAUCAGAGGAUUGGGCCCCCUCCUACCAACUCGCCCGCCCAGUGGUCUUGAGGACUUUCCAGUUUUAGCAUUAUUGGACCUCUCCUAAACCUUAAGACACCAUCACUGAUACAGGCAACCUGAAUGCACCUUGUCUAAACUUCCAGGGACAUACAAAGUGUGAAUGGAAUAUGCCUGUCGUCUGUUGGUGGACUCCCAAGAAGCUCUGUCUACCCAUGAGCAUUGUUGCCUUGUGUCCUUCUGCUGACCUUCCCUGCACCUUCUUCCUCUUCACAGAAUGUAUUGUCAACCCUUUUUGAAGCUGCUCACUAUAGAAUGCAUUCCCUGCACUCCCCUUCCCCUACAAUAAAUCUUGUCUAUCUGCAUCACAA